UUUCAAAGACUAUUUGGACAUGAGGCACGCCACCCAUCAAAAGUCCCUAAACACUUUAAGGUUGCCAGUCCGGCAUUAUCAAGCCCGUCGUCUGAGGAAUCCCCAUCCAGCCCAGCGUCUGAGGUAUCCCCGUCCAGCCCAGCGUCUGAGGUAUCACCAUCUGACCCAACGUCUGAGGCAUCACAUAUGUCAGACACGUCCACCACUCCAGCUGCUGGAAAUACAUACAUCGUAACACCAACAGCCACCCAUGAUCCAGCUGAAUUUCCAAUUUGCUUGAAAGCAAUAGAUUCAGAAAUCAUUAACAGACAUAUCGAUGAGGCCUGGGCUGGAAAAAAAGUCCAGGUGUUACUAUCGAAGAUUGGACCAUACAAAAUAUUUUAUUUUGACAUUUAUAACAUUUCAUCACAAAAAC